rnacentral:lncRNA from 1 species
GCAAGUAUCCACUCACUACCCCUAGUGAGUAUACCAUAUCCGAUCUCAUAUAUGAUGUACAUGAUAGAAUAAAUUCUACUCAUAAACACUCUAUGUACUUAGAUUGGGAUAACCUAAGCAGGCUCUUAGAUUUAUCUCUAUAGAUCUUCAUCCUUAGGAUGAGGGAUGUUUUUCCCAACUCCUUUAUGGAGAAUAAUGAUAUCAGUAGAACCUUUAUUCUUUGUAAUGUAAGGAAUAUC